GCCACAUAAUAAAUGUGAUAAGCACCUCAAUUAGAUACUCUAGAAAGUCAUUAGCAUGGUAUUAGAACGAACUACAAGAAUAUUUCCUAAGUUAUUCUCAACUAUAUAGUCUAGCAUUAUCAUAGUUAGUGCAAGCAUACUUAGCAAUCAUUGUGAGACAAGACUACGCCCAUGCAUAGUGACAUUAGCAAGGAAUAUGAGAAACAUAGCAAUCACUCCCCUGUAAUAAUGUUGUUGUGCCAGCCCAAUACACGAGAGGGGGGCUAUAUAAGAAUCAAUGAAGCUGUCACUAUCACGAACCACCCCACGAUCUGGCAUAUUGGGUACAAUCGCAGAUAAAUACGGUAUAAGCACCACGCCUACACAAUAUCUAUCAUUUACCCAUGGAUCCGAUGGAUAAACGCUAUACGAUCCUAAGCAUGUAUAUAGAUCGAAUCUAACUAAGCCAAGUACAUAACUAUGAUAAACUAAGAACAAU
rnacentral:lncRNA from 1 species